UGGGGAAUUUUUCGCAAUGGGGGAAACCCUGACGAAGCAACGCCGCGUGGAGGAUGAAGGCCUUCGGGUCGUAAACUCCUGUCGACUGGGACGAAAGUAGCCCGACCUAACACGUCGGGUUAUCGACUGUACCGGUGGAGGAAGCUCCGGCUGACUCUGUGCCAGCAGCCGCGGUAAUACAGAGGGAGCGAGCGUUGUUCGGAAUUACUGGGCGUAAAGGGCGCGUAGGCGGUCUUGUAAGUUUCGUGUGAAAUCCCUCGGCUCAACUGAGGAACCGCACGGGAAACUGCUUGGCUAGAGUUCGGGAGAGGGACGUGGAAUUCCGGGUGUAGCGGUGAAAUGCGUAGAUAUCCGGAGGAACACCGGUGGCGAAGGCGGCGUCCUGGACCGACACUGACGCUGAGGCGCGAAAGCUAGGGGAGCAAACGGGAUUAGAUACCCCGGUAGUCCUAGCUGUAAACGAUGAGUGCUGGGUGUAGGGGGUCUUAACCCCCCCUGUGCCGAAGCUAACGCAUUAAGCACUCCGCCUGGGGAGUACGGUCGCAAGGCUG
rnacentral:rRNA from 1 species